rnacentral:rRNA from 1 species
UACGAAGGGGGCUAGCGUUGCUCGGAAUCACUGGGCGUAAAGCGCACGUAGGCGGCUUUUUAAGUCAGGGGUGAAAUCCUGGAGCUCAACUCCAGAACUGCCUUUGAUACUGAGAAGCUUGAGUCCGGGAGAGGUGAGUGGAACUGCGAGUGUAGAGGUGAAAUUCGUAGAUAUUCGCAAGAACACCAGUGGCGAAGGCGGCUCACUGGCCCGGUACUGACGCUGAGACGCGAAAGCGUGGGGAGCAAACAGG